GCCUCCGGCUGGCGCAAUCGGCUUCAACGCAUUCGGCUGUUAUCCGAAAGGUUGGUGGUUCGAGGAGCCCACCGGGGGCA